rnacentral:rRNA from 1 species
CCUACGGGUGGCUGCAGUGGGGAAUAUUGGACAAUGGGCGAAAGCCCUAUCCAGCCAUGCCGCGUGUGUGAAGAAGGCCUUCGGGUUGUAAAGCACUUUCAGUGGGGAAGAAAGCCUUGGGGCUAAUACCCUCGAGGAAGGACAUCACCCACAGAAGAAGCACCGGCUAACUCCGUGCCAGCAGCCGCGGUAAUACGGAGGGUGCGAGCGUUAAUCGGAAUUACUGGGCGUAAAGCGCGCGUAGGCGGUCUGAUAAGCCGGUUGUGAAAGCCCCGGGCUCAACCUGGGAACGGCAUCCGGAACUGUCAGGCUAGAGUGCAGGAGAGGAAGGUAGAAUUCCCGGUGUAGCGGUGAAAUGCGUAGAGAUCGGGAGGAAUACCAGUGGCGAAGGCGGCCUUCUGGACUGACACUGACGCUGAGGUGCGAAAGCGUGGGUAGCAAACAGGAUUAGAUACCCGUGUAGUC